GCAGCCACAUUGCGAUGGCACUGUCUGUGAAACUAGAGAAUUGCAUACUAAAACAUUCACCUUCAUCCUUUUCUUAUUUUAAAUCUCAACAUUGUUCAUCCAGUCAAACAAGACAAAUGUACCUGAGUUCCUAAUUGCAGAAUACAUACAGUUUACAUGUGACGCAUGUGUGAAUGGUAUGUUUUUGCAAGUUGAUGUAAUUAGACUGAGUCCUCACUUAUGGCAUUAAGACUCCUCUCAGUAAAUCAUGACCUCAAUGCUCUGCUGCUUAUCAAUAAGAUGCUGAGUCAUGCCUUCUAAAGAAAGUAAAGGGUUCUAGCCAUUAAUAACUACAGAAAGUCAAAACAUGUUCUUAAAAUAAAAAUGAUCACAUGAUUUCCAGCCUGCCCAUUGUACCAUAAAGGGACUUUGUUCCCAUACAUAUUUCCUCUUCACUGUCAUGCUAUGCCUUAAAGUCUUUGAGUGAUUGUGUCUGUCUCAAAUGGUUGGAACUGGUUAAUCAUUGUAUCACCAGAAAGCCUGAUUUAAUUCGGCUAUUUAGACCGGGCUUUCCUGUGCCCCUCUGAAUUCAUGAAUACAGACAAACACAUUUACAGCUCAUCUCAAAUUGCAGCUGGAGCACCGUGGACAUUAGUGCUGAUGGUUUGGCAGGGAGGUGAUCUGCUCACAUUAGGUCAUUUGCUCUUAAUUGGAGCUUUCAGUCUGAAUCGACAGGGCCAACCUCUGUACCUGCUGCAGCAGACGUCAGAGAGUGAGACUGCAGAUAUAUUUAGCCUAAUUUCUUCUCCUCUGCACGCAGCUUUCCUCUCUGCAUAUGCUGACAUCGCUCUGAGUAAUCUUUUGGGAACGGUUGGUCUCCCAGCAUGCAGUUGGGCAGCUACUAUGAUAGCCACACUGAUGUUGCUGCUCACCGGCAGUUUAUCAACGUACCGCAUCCCCAUGGGUCAGGUGAUGUCCCCUGAAUACAACUUGCGCUCCCGCAAACAAUGGAAAGCUGGGAAAACCGCAGAAGGGGAGAGCACUGAUGUGUAACGUAUUGUAUCAGUACUUAGUACACGAUGGAUGUAUUUCUGGAAGGGUUGGACCAAAUAUAUGCAUUUUUAUUAUAAAUGUUACAAAUAUAUAUAUUUAUACAGUAUAUAUGUUCUUAGAAAACAUUGCCAUUCAUCAUAGUAACUUCACAAUUUGUCCACAAAGUGGCAGUGUUUGUUCAGCAACUAGGUUCUGAAAAUGUUUGAUAAAUAUAAACCUCUGUAUUGUAUUGAAGUUAAACUAUUUUUAUAAAAUAUAUACAGUAUAACAAUUCUUUCCAAGUUUUGCUACUUGUGUUAUUCCAUUAUGCCAGUUUUAACUCACCACAUUGCAUACAAAGCCAAAGAAACAGCCAAUUUGAAGGGAAAUAAAUAUUUUAAUAGGCAUGAAAUUAACAAGUCGGUUCAAUAAAAUCAAUCGUUUUUAAGCGUUAAUAAAAACACAGACUGAAUUCAACAGUAAUUGUUUUUUCACCCCUUCAUUACGCUGCAUAGACACACAUAGAACUCCACUGGGACUCAAUGUAGGAAUAGA